AACAACGCUGGCGGCGUGCCUAACACAUGCAAGUCGUACGAGAAAGUCGGCUUCGGCCGAUGAGUACAGCGGCGCACGGGUGAGUAACGCGUGGGUAAUCUGCCCCCCGGUCAGGAAUAACCCGCCGAAAGGCGGGCUAAUACCCGAUAACACUGACGCUCUGCGGAGCGUCUUUCAAAGAAGGCCUCUGUUUACAAGCUUUCGCCGGAGGAUGAGCCCGCGUACCAUUAGCUAGUUGGCAGGGUAAUGGCCUACCAAGGCAACGAUGGUUAGCUGGUCUGAGAGGAUGGCCAGCCACACUGGAACUGAGACACGGUCCAGACUCCUACGGGAGGCAGCAGUGAGGAAUCUUGCGCAAUGGGGGAAACCCUGACGCAGCAACGCCGCGUGAGUGAGGAAGGCCUUCGGGUCGUAAAGCUCUGUCAGAUGGGAAGAAAUGGAUGGGGGCUAAUAUCGUCCAUCCUUGACGGUACCAUCAGAGGAAGCACCGGCUAACUCCGUG
rnacentral:rRNA from 1 species